CUUAGAAUAAAAGGUUUUUGUUCUCCUCUUUCACUAAAAUACCAGUACUUGCUAUGCGUUUUUGCCUGCCUCUAAACAUUUUAUCAACAAAAAGAGUCACCAUGAAUGUUUUCACUGGAAUCACUUGUUUAGUUUUCCUUUUUACAAAGCUUAUUGUUGUGUCUGGUGACAUAGACAAACCUACAGGAAUGAAGCAAGGGAUUUACUGCGAAUGUUGCAGUGCUACURUCAAAGGUGAG